rnacentral:rRNA from 1 species
GGUUAAGCGACUAAGCGUACACGGUGGAUGCCCUGGCAGUCAGAGGCGAUGAAGGACGUGCUAAUCUGCGAUAAGCGUCGGUAAGGUGAUAUGAACCGUUAUAACCGGCGAUUUCCGAAUGGGGAAACCCAGUGUGUUUCGACACACUAUCAUUAACUGAAUCCAUAGGUUAAUGAGGCGAACCGGGGGAACUGAAACAUCUAAGUACCCCGAGGAAAAGAAAUCAACCGAGAUUCCCCCAGUAGCGGCGAGCGAACGGGGAGCAGCCCAGAGCCUGAAUCAGUGUGUGUGUUAGUGGAAGCGUCUGGAAAGGCGCGCGAUACAGGGUGACAGCCCCGUACACAAAAAUGCACAUGCUGUGAGCUCGAUGAGUAGGGCGGGACACGUGGUAUCCUGUCUGAAUAUGGGGGGACCAUCCUCCAAGGCUAAAUACUCCUGACUGACCGAUAGUGAACCAGUACCGUGAGGGAAAGGCGAAAAGAACCCCGGCGAGGGGAGUGAAAAAGAACCUGAAACCGUGUACGUACAAGCAGUGGGAGCACGCUUAGGCGUGUGACUGCGUACCUUUUGUAUAAUGGGUCAGCGACUUAUAUUCUGUAGCAAGGUUAACCGAAUAGGGGAGCCGAAGGGAAACCGAGUCUUAACUGGGCGUUAAGUUGCAGGGUAUAGACCCGAAACCCGGUGAUCUAGCCAUGGGCAGGUUGAAGGUUGGGUAACACUAACUGGAGGACCGAACCGACUAAUGUUGAAAAAUUAGCGGAUGACUUGUGGCUGGGGGUGAAAGGCCAAUCAAACCGGGAGAUAGCUGGUUCUCCCCGAAAGCUAUUUAGGUAGCGCCUCGUGAAUUCAUCUCCGGGGGUAGAGCACUGUUUCGGCAAGGGGGUCAUCCCGACUUACCAACCCGAUGCAAACUGCGAAUACCGGAGAAUGUUAUCACGGGAGACACACGGCGGGUGCUAACGUCCGUCGUGAAGAGGGAAACAACCCAGACCGCCAGCUAAGGUCCCAAAGUCAUGGUUAAGUGGGAAACGAUGUGGGAAGGCCCAGACAGCCAGGAUGUUGGCUUAGAAGCAGCCAUCAUUUAAAGAAAGCGUAAUAGCUCACUGGUCGAGUCGGCCUGCGCGGAAGAUGUAACGGGGCUAAACCAUGCACCGAAGCUGCGGCAGCGACGCUUAUGCGUUGUUGGGUAGGGGAGCGUUCUGUAAGCCUGUGAAGGUGUGCUGUGAGGCAUGCUGGAGGUAUCAGAAGUGCGAAUGCUGACAUAAGUAACGAUAAAGCGGGUGAAAAGCCCGCUCGCCGGAAGACCAAGGGUUCCUGUCCAACGUUAAUCGGGGCAGGGUGAGUCGACCCCUAAGGCGAGGCCGAAAGGCGUAGUCGAUGGGAAACAGGUUAAUAUUCCUGUACUUGGUGUUACUGCGAAGGGGGGACGGAGAAGGCUAUGUUGGCCGGGCGACGGUUGUCCCGGUUUAAGCGUGUAGGCUGGUUUUCCAGGCAAAUCCGGAAAAUCAAGGCUGAGGCGUGAUGACGAGGCACUACGGUGCUGAAGCAACAAAUGCCCUGCUUCCAGGAAAAGCCUCUAAGCAUCAGGUAACAUCAAAUCGUACCCCAAACCGACACAGGUGGUCAGGUAGAGAAUACCAAGGCGCUUGAGAGAACUCGGGUGAAGGAACUAGGCAAAAUGGUGCCGUAACUUCGGGAGAAGGCACGCUGAUAUGUAGGUGAAGCGACUUGCUCGUGGAGCUGAAAUCAGUCGAAGAUACCAGCUGGCUGCAACUGUUUAUUAAAAACACAGCACUGUGCAAACACGAAAGUGGACGUAUACGGUGUGACGCCUGCCCGGUGCCGGAAGGUUAAUUGAUGGGGUCAGCGCAAGCGAAGCUCUUGAUCGAAGCCCCGGUAAACGGCGGCCGUAACUAUAACGGUCCUAAGGUAGCGAAAUUCCUUGUCGGGUAAGUUCCGACCUGCACGAAUGGCGUAAUGAUGGCCAGGCUGUCUCCACCCGAGACUCAGUGAAAUUGAACUCGCUGUGAAGAUGCAGUGUACCCGCGGCAAGACGGAAAGACCCCGUGAACCUUUACUAUAGCUUGACACUGAACAUUGAGCCUUGAUGUGUAGGAUAGGUGGGAGGCUUGGAAGUGUGGACGCCAGUCUGCAUGGAGCCGACCUUGAAAUACCACCCUUUAAUGUUUGAUGUUCUAACGUUGACCCGUAAUCCGGGUUGCGGACAGUGUCUGGUGGGUAGUUUGACUGGGGCGGUCUCCUCCUAAAGAGUAACGGAGGAGCACGAAGGUUGGCUAAUCCUGGUCGGACAUCAGGAGGUUAGUGCAAUGGCAUAAGCCAGCUUGACUGCGAGCGUGACGGCGCGAGCAGGUGCGAAAGCAGGUCAUAGUGAUCCGGUGGUUCUGAAUGGAAGGGCCAUCGCUCAACGGAUAAAAGGUACUCCGGGGAUAACAGGCUGAUACCGCCCAAGAGUUCAUAUCGACGGCGGUGUUUGGCACCUCGAUGUCGGCUCAUCACAUCCUGGGGCUGAAGUAGGUCCCAAGGGUAUGGCUGUUCGCCAUUUAAAGUGGUACGCGAGCUGGGUUUAGAACGUCGUGAGACAGUUCGGUCCCUAUCUGCCGUGGGCGCUGGAGAACUGAGGGGGGCUGCUCCUAGUACGAGAGGACCGGAGUGGACGCAUCACUGGUGUUCGGGUUGUCAUGCCAAUGGCACUGCCCGGUAGCUAAAUGCGGAAGAGAUAAGUGCUGAAAGCAUCUAAGCACGAAACUUGCCCCGAGAUGAGUUCUCCCUGACUCCUUGAGAGUCCUGAAGGAACGUUGAAGACGACGACGUUGAUAGGCCGGGUGUGUAAGCGCAGCGAUGCGUUGAGCUAACCGGUACUAAUGAACCGUGAGGCUUAACCUU